rnacentral:rRNA from 1 species
GCCUACGGGUGGCAGCAGUCGGGAAUUUUGCGCAAUGGGCGAAAGCCUGACGCAGCAACGCCGCGUGAGGGAUGAAGGCCUUCGGGUUGUAAACCUCUUUUCUCAGGGACGAUGAUGACGGUACCUGAGGAAUAAGUCACGGCUAACUACGUGCCAGCAGCCGCGGUAAUACGUAGGUGGCUAGCGUUGUCCGGAUUUACUGGGCGUAAAGAGCGCGCAGGCGGUCGUUCAAGUCGAGUGUGAAGGCCCCCGGAUCAACGGGGGAGGGUCACUCGAUACUGAUCGACUUGAAGGCGGGAGAGGGAAGCGGAAUUCCCGGUGUAGUGGUGAAAUGCGUAGAUAUCGGGAGGAACACCAGUGGCGAAGGCGGCUUUCUGGCCCGUUCUUGACGCUGAGGCGCGAAAGCUAGGGUAGCAAACGGGAUUAGAUACCCGUGUAGUC